AAAAAAACCAUUAUAUAUAUUUUUUGACAAUUGCUUGGGGUUCAAGAGCAGACACAAUGCUAUUUGGACCAAUAUUAUCAAUGUUGCUAACAGUAGUGGCCAUUGUGCUUGUUACUACACCUUGUGACACAUUAACAACUGAAGCAUCAACAACAAAUGGUGUGUCAACGACAAUAACUGGUGCAUCUACAGCAACUGAAGGUUCAACAACUGAAGGGUCAGCAACAACUGAUGGUUCAACUACAACAGAAGGCUCCACCGCAACUGAUGGAUCAACUACAACUGGUGGGUCAACAAUUGGUGUGUCAACUACAACCGAAG